GAUGAACGCUGGCGGCGUGCCUAAUACAUGCAAGUCGAGCGAACAGACGAGGAGCUUGCUCCUUUGACGUUAGCGGCGGACGGGUGAGUAACACGUAGGUAACCUACCUAUAAGACUGGGAUAACUUCGGGAAACCGGAGCUAAUACCGGAUAAUAUUUCGAACCGCAUGGUUCGAUAGUGAAAGAUGGCUUUGCUAUCACUUAUAGAUGGACCUGCGCCGUAUUAGCUAGUUGGUAAGGUAACGGCUUACCAAGGCAACGAUACGUAGCCGACCUGAGAGGGUGAUCGGCCGCACUGGAACGGAGACACGGUCCAGACUCCUACGGGAGGCAGCAGUAGGGAAUCUUCCGCAAUGGGCGAAAGCCUGACGGAGCAACGCCGCGUGAGUGAUGAAGGUCUUCGGAUCGUAAAACUCUGUUAUUAGGGAAGAACAAACGUGUAAGUAACUGUGCACGUCUUGACGGUACCUAAUCAGAAAGCCACGGCUAACUACGUG
rnacentral:rRNA from 1 species